rnacentral:rRNA from 1 species
CUAGCUGUAAACAAUGGGCACUAGGUGUUGUCGGUAUCGACCCCGGCAGUGCCGAAGCUAACGCAUUAAGUGCCCCGCCUGGGGAGUACGACCGCAAGGUUAAAACUCAAAGGAAUUGACGGGGGCCCGCACAAGCAGCGGAGCGUGCGGUUUAAUUCGAUGGUACGCGAAGAACCUUACCCAGACUUGACAUGCGAGUGGUAGGGACCCGAAAGGGAACCGACCCGCAAGGGAGCUCGUACAGGUGUUGCACGGCUGUCGUCAGCUCGUGUCGUGAGAUGUUGGGUUAAGUCCCGCAACGAGCGCAACCCUCGGGGUCUGUUGUACCUCUCAGACCCGACUGCCGAGAGAAACUCGGAUGA